GCGGGUGUGGCGGAACUGGCAGACGCGCAUGGUUGAGGGCCAUGUUCCCGCAAGGGAGUGGAGGUUCGAAUCCUCUCACCCGCA
rnacentral:tRNA from 3 species